rnacentral:miRNA from 1 species
AAUAGCUCAGAAUGUCAGUUUUGUUAAGUAACAGAAUUGAUAACUGAGCAAGGAA